UACGUAGGGUGCAGGCGUUAAUCGGAAUUACUGGGCGUAAAGCGUGCGCAGGCGGUCUUUUAAGUCAGAUGUGAAAUCCCCGGGCUUAACCUGGGAACUGCGUUUGAAACUGGAAGGCUUGAGUGUGGCAGAGGGGGGUAGAAUUCCACGUGUAGCAGUGAAAUGCGUAGAGAUGUGGAGGAACACCGAUGGCGAAGGCAGCCCCCUGGGUCAAGAUUGACGCUCAUGCACGAAAGCGUGGGGAGCAAACAGG
rnacentral:rRNA from 1 species